rnacentral:rRNA from 1 species
UACGAAAGGGGCUAGCGUUGUUCGGAAUUACUGGGCGUAAAGCGCGCGAAGGCGGGCUAGCAAGUUGGGGGUGAAAUCCCGGGGCUCAACCUCGGAACUGCCUCCAAAACUGCUAGCCUAGAGGAUGUGAGAGGAUAGUGGAAUUCCGAGUGUAGAGGUGAAAUUCGUAGAUAUUCGGAAGAACACCAGUGGCGAAGGCGACUGUCUGGCGCAUUUCUGACGCUGAGGUGCGAAAGCGUGGGGAGCAAACAGG